rfam:Prevotellaceae bacterium KH2P17 genome assembly, contig: Ga0066882_108
CGGGGCGAGACUUAGAAACCCCGCGCCCGGUUGUGUUAAUAGCACUGCUUUUGGCCGAGCAGGGCGGUUAGUGAAUC